rnacentral:rRNA from 1 species
UACGGAGGGGGCAAGCGUUGUUCGGAGUUACUGGGCGUAAAGCGCGCGUAGGCGGUGCGGUAAGUCAGGGGUUAAAGGCUGCAGCUCAACUGCAGUAAGGCCUUUGAUACUAUCGCGCUAGAGUACCAGAGAGGAUGGCGGAAUUCCCGGUGUAGCGGUGAAAUGCGUAGAUAUCGGUAGGAACACCAGUAGCGAAGGCGACCAUCUGGCUGGUAACUGACGCUGAGGUGCGAGAGCGUGGGGAGCAAACAGG